GGGGACAACGUUUCGAAAGGAACGCUAAUACCGCAUACGUCCUACGGGAGAAAGUGGGGGAUCUUCGGACCUCACGCUAUCAGAUGAGCCUAGGUCGGAUUAGCUAGUUGGUGAGGUAAAGGCUCACCAAGGCGACGAUCCGUAACUGGUCUGAGAGGAUGAUCAGUCACACUGGAACUGAGACACGGUCCAGACUCCUACGGGAGGCAGCAGUGGGGAAUAUUGGACAAUGGGCGAAAGCCUGAUCCAGCCAUGCCGCGUGUGUGAAGAAGGUCUUCGGAUUGUAAAGCACUUUAAGUUGGGAGGAAGGGCAGUAAGUUAAUACCUUGCUGUUUUGACGUUACCAACAGAAUAAGCACCGGCUAACUUCGUGCCAGCAGCCGCGGUAAUACGAAGGGUGCAAGCGUUAAUCGGAAUUACUGGGCGUAAAGCGCGCGUAGGUGGUUCGUUAAGUUGGAUGUGAAAGCCCCGGGCUCAACCUGGGAACUGCAUCCAAAACUGGCGAGCUAGAGUAUGGCAGAGGGUGGUGGAAUUUCCUGUGUAGCGGUGAAAUGCGUAGAUAUAGGAAGGAACACCAGUGGCGAAGGCGACCACCUGGGCUAAUACUGACACUGAGGUGCGAAAGCGUGGGGAGCAAACAGGAUUAGAUA
rnacentral:rRNA from 2 species